AACGACGCGACGCUGGCGGCGUGCCUAUACAUGCAAGUCGAGCGGACUUUAAAGCUUGCUUUUAAAGUUAGCGGCGGACGGGUGAGUAACACGUGGGCAACCUGCCUGUAAGACUGGGAUAACUUCGGGAAACCGGAGCUAAUACCGGAUAAUUCUUUCCCUCUCAUGGUGGAAAGCUGAAAGACGGCAUCUCGCUGUCACUUACAGAUGGGCCCGCGGCGCAUUAGCUAGUUGGUGAGGUAACGGCUCACCAAGGCAACGAUGCGUAGCCGACCUGAGAGGGUGAUCGGCCACACUGGGACUGAGACACGGCCCAGACUCCUACGGGAGGCAGCAGUAGGGAAUCUUCCGCAAUGGACGAAAGUCUGACGGAGCAACGCCGCGUGGAGUGAUGAAGGUUUUCGGAUCGUAAAGCUCUGUUGUUAGGGAAGAACAAGUACAAGAGUAACUGCUUGUACCUUGACGGUACCUAACCAGAAAGCCACGGGCUAACUACGUGCCAGCAGCCGCGGUAAUACGUAGGGUGGCAAGCGUUGUCCGGAAUUAUUGGGGCGGUAAAGCGCGCCGCAGGCGGUCCUUUUAAGUCUGGAUGUGAAAGCCCCACGGCUCCAACCGUGGAGGGUCAUUGGAAACUGGGGGACUUGGAUUGCAAAAAAAAAAAAAUGGAAUUCCCCGUGUACCGGGUGAAAGCGUAAGAUUGUGGAGAACACCCCUGUGCGAAGG
rnacentral:rRNA from 2 species